ACUCUUCAUCUGUUGAUGGGCAUCUAGGCUGGUUCUGUUCCCUGGCUAUUGCGAAUAGAGCAGCAAUAAACAUGGCUGUGCAGAUGUCCCUGCAGCAGGAAAUGG
ensembl:miRNA